rnacentral:rRNA from 1 species
CGAACGCUGGCGGCGUGCUUAACACAUGCAAGUCGAACGGUGAAGCCCUUCGGGGUGGAUCAGUGGCGAACGGGUGAGUAACACGUGGGAAAUCUGCCCUGCACUCUGGGACAAGCCUUGGAAACGAGGUCUAAUACCGGAUAUGACCUGCUCCUGCAUGGGAGUGGGUGGAAAGCUCCGGCGGUGCAGGAUGAUCCCGCGGCCUAUCAGCUUGUUGGUGGGGUAAUGGCCUACCAAGGCGACGACGGGUAGCCGGCCUGAGAGGGCGACCGGCCACACUGGGACUGAGACACGGCCCAGACUCCUACGGGAGGCAGCAGUGGGGAAUAUUGCACAAUGGGCGAAAGCCUGAUGCAGCGACGCCGCGUGAGGGAUGACGGCCUUCGGGUUGUAAACCUCUUUCAGCAGGGAAGAAGCGCAAGUGACGGUACCUGCAG